AGAGUUUGAUCCUGGCUCAGGAUGAACGCUAGCGACAGGCCUAACACAUGCAAGUCGAGGGGUAACAUGAGUGCUUGCACUUGAUGACGACCGGCGCACGGGUGCGUAACGCGUAUGCAACUUACCUUGUACUGGGGAAUAGCCCGUGGAAACGCGGAUUAAUGUCCCAUAACACUACAAUUUCGCAUGGAAAAGUGGUUAAAGUUCCGACGGUACAAGAUGGGCAUGCGUGACAUUAGCUAGUUGGUGAGGUAAGGGCUCACCAAGGCGACGAUGUCUAGGGGUUCUGAGAGGAAGGUCCCCCACACUGGUACUGAGACACGGACCAGACUCCUACGGGAGGCAGCAGUGAGGAAUAUUGGUCAAUGGGCGCAAGCCUGAACCAGCCAUGUCGCGUGCAGGAAGACUGCCCUACGGGUUGUAAACUGCUUUUGUAUGGGAAGAAACGUUGGUACGUGUACCAAUUUGCCGGUACCAUACGAAUAAGGAUCGGCUAACUCCGUGCCAGCAGCCGCGGUAAUACGGAGGAUCCAAGCGUUAUCCGGAUUUAUUGGGUUUAAAGGGUGCGUAGGCGGUAGAAUAAGUCAGUGGUGAAAUCCUGCAGCUUAACUGUAGAACUGCCAUUGAUACUGUUUUACUUGAGUGUAAUUGAGGUAGGCGGAAUGUGUUGUGUAGCGGUGAAAUGCAUAGAUAUAACACAGAACACCGAUUGCGAAGGCAGCUUACUAAGUUAUAACUGACGCUGAUGCACGAAAGCGUGGGUAGCGAACAGGAUUAGAUACCCUGGUAGUCCACGCCGUAAACGAUGAUUACUCGCUGUAGGCAAUACACCGUCUGUGGCUGAGCGAAAGCAUUAAGUAAUCCACCUGGGGAGUACGUUGGCAACAAUGAAACUCAAAGGAAUUGACGGGGGCCCGCACAAGCGGAGGAACAUGUGGUUUAAUUCGAUGAUACGCGAGGAACCUUACCUGGACUUAAAUGUAGAUUGACGUAUCCAGAGAUGGAUAUUUCUUCGGACAAUUUACAAGGUGCUGCAUGGUUGUCGUCAGCUCGUGCCGUGAGGUGUCGGGUUAAGUCCCAUAACGAGCGCAACCCCUGUUGUUAGUUACCAGCACAUCAUGGUGGGGACUCUAACAAGACUGCCGGUGUAAACCGCGAGGAAGGUGGGGAUGACGUCAAAUCAGCACGGCCCUUACGUCCAGGGCUACACACGUGUUACAAUGGCCGGUACAGAGGGCAGCUACUUGGUGACAAGAUGCGAAUCUCAAAAACCGGUCUCAGUUCGGAUCGAAGUCUGCAACCCGACUUCGUGAAGCUGGAUUCGCUAGUAAUCGCAUAUCAGCCAUGAUGCGGUGAAUACGUUCCCGGGCCUUGUACACACCGCCCGUCAAACCAUGGAAGUCGAGGGUACCUGA
rnacentral:rRNA from 1 species